UACGUAGGGGGCUAGCGCUGUCCGGGAUCCUUGGGCGUAAAGCGCGUGUAGGCGGUCCGGUAAGUCCGCUGUGAAAGUCGGGGGCUCAACCCUCGAAUGCCGGUGGAAACUGUCGGGCUAGAGUACGGAAGAGGCGAGUGGAAUUCCUGGUGUAGCGGUGAAAUGCGCAGAUAUCAGGAGGAACACCAAUUGCGAAGGCAGCUCGCUGGGACGUUACUGACGCUGAGACGCGAAAGCGUGGGGAGCAAACAGG
rnacentral:rRNA from 1 species